GACGAACGCUGGCGGCGUGCUUAACACAUGCAAGUCGAACGGAAAGGCCCUGCUUUUGUGGGGUGCUCGAGUGGCGAACGGGUGAGUAACACGUGAGUAACCUGCCCUUGACUUUGGGAUAACUUCAGGAAACUGGGGCUAAUACCCGAUAGGAGCUCCUGCUGCAUGGUGGGGGUUGGAAAGUUUCGGCGGUUGGGGAUGGACUCGCGGCUUAUCAGCUUGUUGGUGGGGUAGUGGCUUACCAAGGCUUUGACGGGUAGCCGGCCUGAGAGGGUGACCGGCCACAUUGGGACUGAGAUACGGCCCAGACUCCUACGGGAGGCAGCAGUGGGGAAUAUUGCACAAUGGGCAGAAGCCUGAUGCAGCAACGCCGCGUGCGGGAUGACGGCCUUCGGGUUGUAAACCGCUUUCGCCUGUGACGAAGCGUGAGUGACGGUAAUGGGUAAAGAAGCACCGGCUAACUACGUG
rnacentral:rRNA from 1 species